rnacentral:rRNA from 1 species
GAUGAACGCUGGCGGCGUGCCUAAUACAUGCAAGUCGAGCGAACAGACGAGGAGCUUGCUCCUCUGACGUUAUCGGCGGACGGGUGAGUAACACGUGGAUAACCUACCUAUAAGACUGGGAUAACUUCGGGAAACCGGAGCUAAUACCGGAUAAUAUAUUGAACCUCAUUGUUCAAUAGUGAAAUACGGUUUUUCUGUCACUUAUAGAUUGAUCCGCGCCGCAUUAGCUAGUUGGUAAGGUAACGGCUUACCAAGGCAACGAUGCGUAGCCGACCUGAGAGGGUGAUCGGCCACACUGGAACUGAGACACGGUCCAGACUCCUACGGGAGGCAGCAGUAGGGAAUCUUACGCAAUGGGCGAAAGCCUGACGGAGCAACGCCGCGUGAGUGAUGAAGGUCUUCGGAUCGUAAAACUAUGUUAUUAGGGAAGAACAAAUGUGUAAGUAACUAUGCACGUAUUGACGGUACCUAAUCAGAAAGCCACGGCUAACUACGUG